UAAUGCCAGCAGUUAAGAUCAGUGUGAGUGAAGCGAGCCCGAGUCUUCCUGGAGCUUGUGGCAAUGUGCUUGCUUCCCUGAGCCAUGGACGCCAAAGGCAGACUUCCCUGGAGGCUGGAGCUCAUUGGUACCUCCAAGUCAAUUCUUUGGGAAUCAAGACGCAAUGAACAGAAUGAGAAGUUCUGACUCUGUCCCUCUGCCUUUUCCAGAGCAGCCAUGAGCAGGAAGAGGGAGGCACUGCACCUCUCCUGCCCUACCCGAGCCCUUCUGAGACCUUCCAUGGCAGAGUUCCUGGUCACCGCAGUCACCACGGACCACUCUGCUUGCAGAAGAAAACUGUGCGUGCUCUCAUCAGCCUGGGGCUGCCUAAUCACCUCCUGAUUUAGAGAAUCCUUAAGUCAAAACAAGGAAUACUAGCUGAAAUCACUGUGUUGUUUGUCCACAUUUGCUUGUAAGACGGGCAGCACCCACACCCGGUGACCACCAAGCCCCCUGGGUUUCCCUGGUCUCUGCUGCUCUGCCCCCUGUAAAGCUUACCCCACCCAAACCCUGCACACCCUUCAACUGCUCAGACAACACCAAGCUGUUCCUGCGUGCCCCACCUGGAAGCAGUGCCUCCUCGCCUCACCCCCUUUCUAAUCAUCUAAGAACUGGUUAAAGACAGCAGCGAGAUUUCCCAUAUACCCCUCACCCAGGGUCCCCUGGGUUAAUAUCCCACGUUACUGUGGUGCAUUUGCCAAAACUAAGAAACCUACCUUGGUCCACAAUGAUGCACUAAACUUCACACUUCAUUCAGAUGUCCUUGAUUUUCCCUCAAGUCCUUUUUCUGUCCCAGAAUCCCCUCUAGGAUGCACAUUACCUUCAGCUGUCACUUCUCCUUAGGUGCCCCUGAUCUGUGACAGCUCCUCGACCUUUCCUUGUUUUUCAUGUUCCUGACACGUUGGAGGACUGCUGGUGAGGUAUUUUGUGCAGUGCCUCCGUUUGGGUCUGUCUGAUGCUUUUUCUCAUGCUUAGGAAGGGGAUGGGUUUCUGGGAGGAAGAGCAUAGAGGGGAAGUGCCCCCAUCCUCAUCAUUACCCCUUGCUCUUUAGUACUUACUGCCACAUUCUCCUAGCCUCUCUUCCUGCUUCUUGGGUUCCAUCCGUCCUCUACAGAGCGUGUCACAAGAAGUACCCACCUUCUUAUACACAUGCCUGAGUGCAUGCCAUGUGCCAGGCAUCAUGCCAUCCCUGAGGGUCCUAAGAUACCACCAGAGGAUGAUUACAGUACCAAAUGCCUUUUCCUGGGUCCUUGGGUCUUGGUGACCUAAGAGAUUCAAGGACCAGGGAAGGUGUCCCACUACAUGGCGAGGUCUCGGGU
rnacentral:lncRNA from 1 species